UCACCUAGUGUUAUUGCAGCUUGUGGGUCGAGAUGGGGCGCGGCAGAUCUAAGGCGUACUCUUCCUAUCUAGAGAAGCACAUACAAAAAAAAUUGGCUUGGUUUUUUUGGAUGUGCUCCUCUAGCUAGGAAGAAGGAACGUAUACGUGGCUAUGAUGGUACAUCCCACCAUCAUCUUCUCCUUCUCCGGCUCUUCUAUUGCCAAUUUGCUAGCAUUUUGCACUAACUUUUUUUCACUCCAACCACCGGAAUGUGACUCGUCCGAGGCAUCUACGUUGCUAGGAUGGCAUGCAAGUGUCCUAGCAAGCGUUCCCGUUCUCGCAAGCAAGCACCAGCCGGUAGGUCUAUCUUCCUACCACAUGGUUUGAGAUCUACACAUUUGGCUACCUUCCUAGGGUUUAGCUCGAUGUAAUUUCCAUCUCCCAUGUCCAUUUAACAUUGUUUGGGGAUCUAUGCUAUAGAGUAGUGCCAUGGAGAAGAUACGGUUACUGUUUCCCUGGACCUUAAUCUUACACAGUUCCUCCAUCACAGUCCCGCGACCACACCUUUGAUUUGAGGGUUCCAUUCCCCAACAAGGGUUUGGAGCAUCAAUGAGUUGAAGGCAAGAAGGACACACACACACCCCCAUAUGCUCACAUCGGUUUGGUCUCACACACUGUCCACGUAUGCCAUAAAGAAACGUUGCAUCCUGCAAGCAACAGCACACAUUACAAAAGCUUGUCUUAUGAUUUACUCCUUCCGUUCGGAAUUAGUUGUCACAAAAAUAAAUAAAAAUGGAUGUAUCUACAACUAAAAUACAUCUAGAUACAUUCAUUUUUUGGACGAGUAAUUCCGAACGGAGGGAGUAUAUGAUAGAUUUUAAUCAUCUGUCUAGCUUGCAGGUGGUGCCUCAAGUUCAACUUUCUCCUGAUCAACUUCCUCUGCAGGGACGGACUCUUAAAUCUGAUUUGCUCGUUGCCGGUCCUAAAAUCUACUCUGAUGCAAUUUUCAGAUGUAAUAAAGUUGAGGGUUCUAUUCCCCAAGGGAUUGGAGCAUCAACGAGUUGGAGGCAGGAAGGACACACACCCCCAUGUGCUCACAUCGGUUUGCUCAGGAAGCGGCUCACACACUGUCCACGUAUGCCAUAACCCAUAAAGAACCGUUGCAUCCUGCAAGCAACACCACACUUUGCAGUCGCAUUAUCUUGUCAUUUCGGUUUUUUUCUUCCUAUGCGGCGCACGCAGCUACUCCCUCCGUUGAAAUAUAAAAUGUUCUAACUUUUUUCCGAUUCAGAUGUGUAUAGACACAAUUUAUUGUGUGUUUUUUUUACUAUUUCAGCAUGUACGCAGUUCAUAUUAAAAUAUCUAAACAUCUUAUAUUUGUGAACGGAUGGAGUAGUAAUUAAGCAUGAACCAUAAUGCAGAUCCAGCAGAAAGAAAGUCUUAUAUUAUGUAUGGGGCACCCAGAACGGAGAUGACCAGAAGACAGCAGCCAGUUGUGCUGAGUUGGACGCCACCAAUGUCGGGAUGGAUGAAAUUGAACACAACGAGCCCUCUUUACAUGCAGAGAUGCAUUGGAGGCGGAACUAUGCACAUGCAUGGAGGGGCUCUCCCUGGCCAUUCAACGGACGGAUCUUCCUAUUGUCGUGGAGCUGGAUUCUCUCGAAGCGGUAUCUUUGAUAUCGGGUGCGGAGCUUGAUCGCUCAGUUUAUGCUUCAAUUGUGAAGGAGAUAAAGCUUUUGAUGAGUCCUAGACAAACUUGUAUUACUCAUGUAUCUAGAUCUCAAAAUAAAGCUAGUGAUAUGUUAGCUUCUUUUGCUAGAACUCAUGGUAGGACUAUGACCUGGCUAGGAGCUGGCCCGAGUGAGGUUUUGGAGAUUACCUCAGAUGAUUGUAAGGACAUUGUGAUUGAGUAAUACAAGUUUUCAACCUGCAAAAAAAA